UACAGAGGGUGCAAGCGUUGUUCGGAAUUAUUGGGCGUAAAGCGCGUGUAGGCGGCUUUGCAAGUCGGGUGUGAAAGCCCUCAGCUCAACUGAGGAAGUGCGCCCGAAACUGCAGAGCUUGAGUACCGGAGAGGGUGGCGGAAUUCCCAGUGUAGCGGUGAAAUGCGUAGAUACUGGGAGGAACACCGGUGGCGAAGGCGGCUACCUGGACCGGUUCUGACGCUGAGGCGCGAAAACGUGGGUAGCAAACGGG
rnacentral:rRNA from 1 species